rnacentral:rRNA from 1 species
UUAGGAAUAUUCGUCAAUGGGGGAAACCCUGAACGAGCAAUGCCGCGUGAGUGAUGAAGGUCUUAUAGAUUGUAAAACUCUGUUGCAAGGGAAGAAAUCUUAAUAUAGGGAAUGAUAUUAAGUCGACGGUACCUUGCCAGAAAGCCCCGGCUAACUACGUGCCAGCAGCCGCGGUAAUACGUAGGGGGCGAGCGUUAUCCGGAUUUAUUGGGCGUAAAGCGUGUGUAGGCGGUUUAUUAAGUCUAAGAUAAAAGCCCAUGGCUUAACCAUGGUUCGUCUUAGAAACUGGUAGACUUGAGUGUAGUAGAGGCAAGUGGAAUUUCUAGUGUAGCGGUUAAAUGCGUAGAUAUUAGAAGGAACACCAGUGGCGAAGGCGGCUUGCUGGGCUAUUACUGACGCUGAGACACGAAAGCGUGGGGAGCAAAUAGG